GAAAGAGGCCCCGAGCAAUAGGGACUGCUAAUCCCUGCCACCAUGGUUAAACCCCAUGGCUCAUUCA
rnacentral:tRNA from 1 species